rnacentral:rRNA from 1 species
GAUGAACGCUGGCGGCGUGCCUAAUACAUGCAAGUCGAGCGAACAGACGAGGAGCUUGCUCCUCUGACGUUAGCGGCGGACGGGUGAGUAACACGUGGAUAACCUACCUAUAAGACUGGGAUAACUUCGGGAAACCGGAGCUAAUACCGGAUAAUAUAUUGAACCGCAUGGUUCAAUAGUGAAAGACGGUUUUGCUGUCACUUAUAGAUGGAUCCGCGCCGCAUUAGCUAGUUGGUAAGGUAACGGCUUACCAAGGCAACGAUGCGUAGCCGACCUGAGAGGGUGAUCGGACACACUGGAACUUAGACACGGUCCAGACUCCUACGGGAGGCAGCAGUAGGGAAUCUUCCGCAAUGGGCGAAAGCUUGACGGAGCAACGCCGCGUGAGUGAUGAAGGUCUUCGGCUCGUAAAACUCUGUUAUUAGGGAAGAACAAAUGUGUAAGUAACUAUGCACGUCUUGACGGUACCUAAUCAGAAAGCCACGGCUAACUACGUG